UUUCUCUCCCUCCCUCUCUCCUUUUCUCUCUCUCUUUCUCUCUCCCUCUCUUCCUCCUUCCCUUCCCCCCUCUCUCUCUCCGAUUGGGUAUCGAUUUGGAGGCGCGGAGGGGAGGGGAGCAGCCAAAGGCUGCCCAUGUGACUUUGAAGUGGCCACCUUUGGAAGCACCAAGGCUGCUCCAGCCACGCUCGAGCCGGGCAGAGUGGGCAAUGGGAGAGGAGUGGGUCGAUCACCUUACCAGCAGCCGGGACUCCGGUGCCCCUUCCCGGCUAGCAGAGCCUACAGUAUCAGGAGCCCCACAAGGGGGCUAGCCGGCAUGAAGAGCCAAACCCUUUCUGCAAGGGAGGGACGCGUUGAGGAAGCCAGCCAAUCACGGGACGUAGAUUCUGACUGAUGGCUGGCCUGAGCCAAUGAGGCGCCAGAGAACUGGAAGCCAUAGUUGAAGGCUGAAAUACCUUCAGCUGUAACUGCUCACAUGUGUUUGUAUGUGUGUGAGUGCACUGGCCCAGAUAAAUGUUGCUUUCCAGGUGAUAGGCGCUUCUUCAGGGCUCAGCAGAUGCACCGGUAUCAAUGCCGCUUUCCAGGAGAUUGAUGCUUCUUCAGGGCUCAGGAGAAGCACCAGGAUCAGCUCCGGAAGAAGCGCCAAUCAGGCAGAAAGGGGAGCUGAUCCUGGCGCUUCCCCUGAGCUCUCCCAGCCUCGGAGGAGUGCCAAUUAGGCGGAAAGGGGCCGAGCUCUCCCAGCCUCAGAGAAGCACCAAUCAGGCAGAAAGGGAUGGUGAUUCUGGGGCUUCCCCUGAGCUCUCCCGGCCUCGGAGAAGCGCCGAUCAGGCGGAAAGGGGCCAAGCUCUCCCGGCCUUGGAGAAGCACCAAUCAGGCAGAAAGGGGCGCUGAUCCUGGAGCUUCCCCUGAGCCUUGCCAGCGGGACGCGCACCUCUCGGUGUCGUACGGUUUUCAACGUUUCGCUCGAAGCAGGGAUGGAAAAAGAGAGAAGAGCCCCGCCCGUCACGAACUGAGAGCAGAUGCUUAUUGGCGUUGCGGCUCAAGGCAUGUGACGAGGGAAAGAAUAUGAUUAACACCGUGCGCACACAGACACACAUACACACAGAGCACUUGUCUUCCACCACAUUUUAUUCGCAUCAAUCUUUUUUUUUCUUCGUAAUAUUGGGAGUUGAAAAUAGCGACUCUACACAAACGCACACACAAACACGCAGGCGGUCACGCCCCCUCUCCUCAUUCAGUUCCUUUCCUUGGCUCGUUCACUGCGCGUUCCUGAGGAGGCGGGGGCAGCUUUGGCAUGUCUCGGUUCCUAAGACCAUCGGAAAUGUUUUCCGAUGGUCUUAGGUGACCCCUGUGAAAGCAUCGUUCGACCCCCCCAAAGGAGUUGUGACCCACAGGUUGAGAACCGCUGUCUUAGAUCAUUAUAAGGGGAUCUUUUGUCCUUUCCACUGAUCCUGUUCUGAUUAUUGUGCAUGUAACUCAAGCAAAAUCCAAAUAAUGAUUUGUAGGCAUAUUGAGCAGUCUAAUUGCAAUAACUGGUUCUUCACAUUCUUCAAAUUAGAAUAAGCUGAAAAGUCAGGAUAUGCAUUAUGAAAUCAUAAAGUCUGUUUUUUUUUUAAAAAAAAUCUCCUUUUAUACUCAGGAACAAAAUCUUCAGUCUUCCCUUAAUUUUGCCAAGAAUCGUUGUUUUUAUCUUCUUAUUGCUAACAUAGCUACUCCAGACCAGGCAUUAUCAAACUGAUGACUGAAUACAGAUAACAACCCUAAAUGCAGUCAGGGUUGGCAAACUAGGAGCAAACAGUAUGUAAGCAAUCUACUAUGGAAUUUGAUCCUCACUGCUCUAGCCUGCAAGUAAUAAAGGAGCAGGUUAAGCAAAACUGCUCUCCACUAAUAGGAAUGUACUAUUCCAAAAAUAGGCAAACCAUCCCCUAACCCUAUCUAAAAACUCUGCACAAAAUUAUUCAAGAAGGUCCAAAUAUCAGCAACCAAAACAAAAGAAUCCCUUGCCAUCUGCUUUUUAGCCUCCCCCAAGGUUUGGCAAGUCACAGCAGAAGGGAGGGCCAUCUGGCCAAAUAUCAAGUUUCUAAGACAUGUCAAGGCCAUAUAAUUUGUUGCAGUUGGCAACUGAUUUCCUUGGAAAUAAGACAGGGGGGGAAGGGAGGGAACAAUCAAUAAUUACUAAUCCACCAAGGUUCUUUAGACAUUCAUUACAUGGCUUUUUAAAAACUAUUGCAAUUUUAAACCGAACAAAGGAGGAUUGUUUUUUGCUUACAGUAAGAAAAAAGAAAGGGAAGUUUGCAUUCAGGCCCUCAAUUAAAAUAGUUUAAAGUCCAUUUGAGAAUAGCAAUAAAUGAACAAAGACACUGAUGAUCUGUCCUAUUUGGUAGCAGUCUGUAAAGAGAGGCAAAUGAGUCUAUAACUUUAAAUAUGAUUUAAGAUGUCAAGAAUUAGCAAAAGAAUUUGGUGACAUCAAUCUCAAGCAACUGCAUUUAAAUCUGGACACAGUAUCGAGAAGCUUAACUGAGGCUGCUCUGAAGAACUAGAAUGAUGAAUGGAAGCCCAAAACCUUCCACAAACUUCUGUUGGAUUUAAUGACAAAUACUGUAUCAAUGCACAGCUGCAGUAAAAGCUUGGGUUGAGACCAAUAAGAUGAAACUUAUCAAGAAGUCCUUCUCUAGAAGAAGAAGAUGUUCUCAAAAUAUCAUCAAUAGUCCACCACUGAUCAGCCAGAAACAAGGCAACAGCUCAAAGGGGAAAAGAAUAUAAAGUAAGAAUGUGUUCAGUCUUUCAAUUCUAAUUAUGCCUAGUUAUAGAGGUAUAUAUUUCACAUUAGUUUUAUUCUUAAUUAUAGCACUAAAUGCAUGUUCAGUACAUGUAUUUCUUAGAAAGCAGGGAUUGGUUCCGUUUUAAAAGCCGUCACUUCUCAUCUGGGUAAUCCCAUCAUAGGUUCAUUUUCAAAAGAUCUGUGAGUUUUACAUGCAGGAGACACCUUCUGAAUAGAAUGGCAGCCAAAACAUUUUGGGUUCCAUCUCAACUUCUGAAUUAAAGAAUUCUAAAUUUAAAGAAACUACUUAUUUGAAUAAAUAACUACUUGCUGCUUACUUGAAUCAAAGGAAGCCCUAAUCAGCUAUCAAUCCCUAACUAAAAUUAGGGAAAGGAAUAUACACACAGGAAAAAUUACAGAUCUUUACAGUACUAUGAUAGCAACAAAAUGGCAACAAAUGAUAGUCUGCUCUUGUAAGAACAAUUACAAUUAACCUUGGGUUCACAAAUGAUUUCAUGUAAGAGGAGAAUCUUCAAGAGAACCCUGAAUCUUCAAUUCCAGGUUGAUUUUCACUGAAAUUACCUGUUUAAUCAAAGCAUGGGAAAAUGAUUGAAUCAAGUCUGGUUGAAAUGAUUCAAUGAUUGAAUGAUUCAAUCAAUGACUGAAUCAAACCCUUCAAACAUUAUAAAACUGGAAGGAAGAAGCUAUUCACACCAAAAGUCUUUUUGCCCACUUUCAAUUGCACCCCCAUUUUAUCAUGAUUUCUAUAGUAUUUCUAAACACUUCAUAUCAAAAGCAACAAAUCAUACAGGAACCAAAAAAGGAAUAAUUCAGAUCAGAAUGCUACAGUGUUACAAUUCAAAAUAUAAG